CCAUGACUUAGAAGGACUUGCACUGUUAUUGGACAGGUUUGAUUCACACUUGGUGGGGACAGGCUUUAGCAAACAGGUGCAUUACCAAACAGGUUCCUAGAAACUAGUUGGUAAUACAUCUUUCAGAAUUUUUUCCGAAGUUGAAUUCCAUCUAUUUUAUCCCAUCCACAAAAGUAACAGCCUACCAGCUACUCAACAUAAAAUAUCAAAGAUGUCACAAAUAAGGGACAAUCUGAAAGGACAAAUUUAACCAAUUUUACAGUGUACUUCUUG
rnacentral:lncRNA from 1 species